GGAGGGUUGGUGAAAAAUAUCAUACCUGUCUGUCAAAUAGGUGUUACUGAGAGUAUCGGUACCCUCCU